ACUACUGGCAGGAUCAACCAGGUAGCAUUCCUCACCAACGUCAGCCCGACUCCGAACCGAGCCGUGGGGGCACGGUAGGAGACUGAACCGACGGUCGUUCGCACGAAGCGUAGAACGCUUUUUUUUGUGGUGCUCCGAGGCCUAGGCCCCGUACCCACAUGAUGUUCCGUACUCGAGAGAUCGAGUGACCUGUCAUGGUUCGUCGGCCCGGACGCCGUUUCACGGGCGAACGAGACGCGAGACACGACGUGCGCUGUUUUGCCCACCUCGCAACGCAGGCCCUUUGGGGGCAGCGGCACGGGACGGGAAUGGAACGAAGGUAACCGAUUGAAUGCCCUUGCGAUAGGUAUGCAGCACAGGAAAACCGACGUCAGACGAGCACUUGCUCGCGCCAACAACUGAAAUGACGCGGACGGGAUGCCGUCGCUG
rnacentral:misc_RNA from 1 species